rnacentral:rRNA from 1 species
CCUGACUGCUAUCGGAUUGAUACUAAGCCAUGCGAGUCUUUGCAGUAAUGCAAGGCAUACGGCUCAGUAACACGUAGUCAACUUACCCUAUGGACGAGGAUAAUCUCGGGAAACUGAGCAUAAUACUCGAUAGAUCAUAAUGCCUGGAAUGGUUUAUGGUUGAAAUGAUUCGUCGCCAUAGGAUGGGACUGCGGCCUAUCAGCUUGUUGGUGAGGUAAUGGCCCACCAAGGCGAUUACAGGUACGGGCUCUGAGAGGAGAAGCCCGGAGAUGGGUACUGAGACAAGGACCCAGGCCCUAUGGGGCGCAGCAGGCGAGAAAACUUUGCAAUGUGCGAAAGCACGACAAGGUUAAUCCGAGUGAUUUCUGCUAAAGAAAUCUUUUGCAAGUCAUAAAACCACUAGUGAAUAAGGGGUGGGCAAGUUCUGGUGUCAGCCGCCGCGGUAAAACCAGCACCUCAAGUGGUCAGGAGGAUUAUUGGGCCUAAAGCAUCCGUAGCCGGCUCUGUAAGUUUUCGGUUAAAUCCAUGUGCUCAACGCAUGGGCUGCCGAAAAUACUGCAUAGCUAGGGAGUGGGAGGGGUAGACGGUACUCGGUAGGAAGGGGUAAAAUCCUUUGAUCUAUCGAUGACCACCUGUGGCGAAGGCGGUCUACCAGAACACGUUCGACGGUGAGGGAUGAAAGCUGGGGGAGCAAACCGGAUUAGAUACCCGGGUAGUCCCAGCUGUAAACGAUGCAGACUCGGUGAUGCAUUGGCAUAUAGCCAGUGCAGUGUCGCAGGGAAGCCGUUAAGUCUGCCGCCUGGGAAGUACGUACGCAAGUAUGAAACUUAAAGGAAUUGGCGGGGGAGCACCACAAGGGGUGAAGCCUGCGGUUC